rnacentral:lncRNA from 10 species
GCGAACACAAGAUUCUUUAGCAAUGUUCAUUCCAUCCCACAAUACUUUGCUCACCUCCAGAUAAGUCUUUGUGGGGCAAAUGCAGGAUAAAGAAACAGCUCAUAAGAGGCACUUGCCAACAUCCAACAAAUUCAGUUCAAAACCACAGAAAAUCUAGGAGUCUCCAAAGAAAAUCACAGUCCUGCUGUGUUGCCGAGGCUGGAAUACAAUGGCACGAUCUUCAUUCACUGAAACCUCCGUCUCCUGGUUCAAGUGAUUCUCCUGCCUCAGCCUCCUGAGUAGCUGGGAUUACAGGCAUGCACCGCCACACCCAGCUAAUUUUUGUAUUUUUAGUAGAGAUGGGGUUUCUCCUUGUUGGCCAGGAUGGUCUUGAUCUCCUGACCUCGUG